rnacentral:rRNA from 1 species
GGGCAUGUGCACGCCCGAGCUCUUAAAUCCACCCACACCUGUGAACCCACCGUAGGCCUUCGGGCUUAUGCAUUUAUACUCUGUAUGUGUCAUAGAAUGUCAUGUUGCAUUAAAAACGCAAUUAAAUACAACUUUCAACAACGGAUCUCUUGGCUCUCGCAUCGAUGAAGAACGCAGCGAAAUGCGAUAAGUAAUGUGAAUUGCAGAUUUUCAGUGAAUCAUCGAAUCUUUGAACGCACCUUGCGCUCCUUGGUAUUCCGAGGAGCAUGCCUGUUUGAGUGUCAUUAAAUCAUCAACCCCACCGAUUUGUUUCGGCUUGGGGCUUGGACUUGGAGCGUGCUGGCGAAGGUCGGCUCCUCUUUAAAUGCAUCAGCGGAAGAAUGCAUCUUUUUUCCCUUCAGCGUGAUAAUCCUGUUGCGCUGUGUGUGGGUCAAAGGUGUUCCGCUUAUAAUCGUCCUUCGGACAAACGAACCCAUCUAUUUUUGACCUCAAAUCAGGUAGGACUACCCGCUGAACUUAAGCAUAUCAAUAAGCGGAGGAAAAGAAACUAACAAGGAUUCCCCUAGUAACUGCGAGUGAAGCGGGAAAAGCUCAAAUUUAAAAUCUGGCGGUCCCCUGGCCGUCCGAGUUGUAAUCUGGAGAAGCGUUUUCCGCGUUGGACCGUGUACAAGUCUUCUGGAACGGAGCGUCGUAGAGGGUGAGAAUCCCGUCUCUGACACGGACUGCCAAUGCUUUUGUGAUACGCUCUCGAAGAGUCGAGUUGUUUGGGAAUGCAGCUCANAAUGGGUGGUAAAUUCCAUCUAAAGCUAAAUAUUGGCGAGAGACCGAUAGCGAACAAGUACCGUGAGGGAAAGAUGAAAAGCACUUUGGAA